rnacentral:rRNA from 1 species
CCUACGGGAGGCAGCAGUAGGGAAUCUUCGGCAAUGGGGGGAACCCUGACCGAGCAACGCCGCGUGAACGAAGAAGUUAUUCGUAAUGUAAAGUUCUUUUAACAGGGAAGAAAGAGAAAUUUGACGGUACCUGAAGAAUAAGCUCCGGCUAACUACGUGCCAGCAGCCGCGGUAAUACGUAGGGAGCGAGCGUUAUCCGGAAUUAUUGGGCGAAAAGGGUGCGUAGAUGGCAUAGUAAGUCUUUUGUAAAAAUGCUGGGCGCAACCCAGUAGGGCAAAAGAUACUGCAAAGCUAGAGUAUGACAGAGGCAAGUGGAACUACAUGUGUAGCGGUAAAAUGCGUAAAUAUAUGUAAGAACACCAGUGGCGAAGGCGGCUUGCUGGGUCGAUACUGACAUUGAGGCACGAAAGCGUGGGGAGCAAACAGGAUUAGAUACCCUAGUAGUC